rnacentral:rRNA from 1 species
AGAGCGAACGCUGGCGGCGUGCCUAACACAUGCAAGUCGCACGAGAAAGGGGAGCAAUCCCUGAGUACAGUGGCGCACGGGUGAGUAACACGUGAAUAAUCUACCUCCGAGUGGGGAAUAACUGAGAGAAAUCUUAGCUAAUACCGCAUAAUACCCACGGGUCAAAGCAGCAAUGCGCUUGGAGAGGAGUUCGCGGCAGAUUAGUUAGUUGGCGGGUAAUGGCCCACCAAGACGAUGAUCUGUA